rnacentral:rRNA from 1 species
ACGAAGGGUGCAAGCGUUACUCGGAAUUACUGGGCGUAAAGCGUGCGUAGGUGGUUUGUUAAGUCCGAUGUGAAAUCCCUGGGCUCAACCUGGGAACUGCAUUUGAUACUGAAGAGCUAGAGUGUGGUAGAGGAUAGUGGAAUUCCCGGUGUAGCGGUGAAAUGCGUAGAUAUCGGGAGGAACAUCAGUGGCGAAGGCGGCUAUCUGGACCAACACUGACACUGAGGUACGAAAGCGUGGGUAGCAAACAGGA